AAUCGUAUCUUCUUUGCAAACAAUGUAAGUCAGGAGUGAUUAGCAAGUCUAAAUACCACAACGCCUCCCUUUCUGUUCUUGGCAGAUCUUCUUAUCCUGUUUAAGGUUAUCGUGAGUAAUUUAACAUCUUGUAAGUGCAUAGUUUAAACGAUAGUGAAUGACUAUAUUAUAUUUAAUUAAUCAUCGAUCAUAUACUUAGUAAAAAGUUCUGCAAUUAAGCUCCUAAACUACAUGCAGAACAUCCAAAGUGAAGUAGUAAUAGGGAGCAACAGUUUCUGUGAAAUCACGAACACCAAAAUUAAUGACUAGACACAAAUGGAAAGUUUGUGGCAACUGCAAGAGUGCAUCAGAUGCAUCUAUUAUGCCAAUAAUUAAGAGAAUGAAGUCUGUGAUGCAAAGUGAGGACUUCUCUAGUUCUGGAAUCUGGAUAUUAAUUCCUACAGUUUUAUCUUCCAUUGGAUGCAGUCUUACCUUCCCAGCCAAAUGCCAGAAGCACUGAGGCCAUACCGUGAAGACGAGCUGAGGUACCUCAGAGGGGAGGACAGGCAAGGGCCGUAUCAAGAGCAUGACCGCAUCUACCGGUACGAUGUUUACAAUGACCUCGGUGAACCAGACAGGGACAACCCACGCCCUGUCCUAGGUGGCUCGCAGAAGCACCCCUACCCGCGUCGUGGCCGUACUGGCCGAAUUCCGACCAAAAAAGGUACAGUGUUCCUCUUGGUUCUGUGCAUCUAGAGAGCACUUCUUGACAGACAAGUUCAUAAACUAGUAAGAUCUAAUUUGCGUGAAUAUCCAUGGCUGCAGACCCAAACUCGGAGAGCAGAUUAUCACUGCUGGAACAAAUUUACGUGCCAAGCGAUGAGCGCUUCGCGCACCUCAAGAUGUCAGACUUUGCUGGGUACUCGAUCAAGGCAAUUGUUCAGGGCAUCUUGCCUGCCAUUCGCACAUAUGUUGAUCUCACACCUGGUGAAUUUGACUCGUUCGAGGACAUCUUGAAGCUCUACAGGGGAGGCCUGAAGCUUCCCAGCAUCCCAGCACUAGAGGAGCUGCGCAAGAGCUUCCCUGUCCAACUUAUCAAGGACCUGCUUCCGGUUGGAGGCAGCUACCUGCUCAAGUUCCCCAAACCUGAUAUCAUCAAAGGUACCAUGAUUUAGCCAUUGUGUCAAUUGCCAUAGUCGAUGAGCAGUGGACAAUUAGCGAACUGUUGUACUAUGCAUUGUUGCAGAGAACGAGGUUGCUUGGAGGACAGAUGAGGAAUUUGCACGAGAGAUUCUUGCUGGUCUGAAUCCCAUGGUCAUCAGGCGUCUCACGGUGAACUAUCCAACAUUACAUAGUCUUUGAUGUUUUGUGCUCCUAGCAAGCAUGAACAAAACAAGCUGAUGCUAAUGUAUAAUUCUCUGUUCAUAGGAAUUCCCACCAAAAAGUACUCUUGAUCCUAGCAAGUACGGUGACCAGACUAGCACAAUCACCCCAGCUCACAUUGAGAAGAACCUCGAAGGCCUCAGCGUGCAACAGGUUAGGCAGUGAUCCAUUUCAUUUACAGUGCAAUCGAUAGUCAUUUGACAAACUGCCAAAGUUGAUUUGUUGUCAAUUAUGGCUCUGCACAGGCACUGGAUAGCAACAGGCUCUACAUUCUGGAUCAUCAUGAUCAUUUCAUGCCAUUCCUCAUUGACAUUAACAGCCUUGAUGGUAUCUUCACCUAUGCCACAAGGACCCUGUUGUUCUUACGUGAUGAUGAUACCCUGAAGCCACUAGCAAUUGAACUGAGCUUGCCACACAUCGAGGGCAACCUAACAUCUGCAAAGAGCAAGGUCCAUACACCUGCAUCAAGUGGCAUUGAGUCUUGGGUGUGGCAGCUGGCCAAGGCUUAUGUUGCUGUUAAUGACUCCGGUUGGCACCAGCUUAUCAGCCACUGGUACGUACUGGCAGUGGCAAACUGUAGUUCUUUCCUGAAAGCAGUAAGCUAACCUCAUCAUUGAUGUAAACUCUUGUAGGCUCAACACACAUGCUGUGAUGGAGCCCUUCGUGAUCGCUACAAACCGCCAGCUCAGUGUGACACACCCUGUGUACAAGCUCCUCCAGCCACACUAUCGCGACACGAUGACAAUCAAUGCAUUGGCACGCCAGACACUCAUCAACGGCGGUGGCAUUUUCGAACAAACUGUCUUUCCUGGCAAACAUGCUCUGGCAAUGUCUUCAGCAGUUUACAAGAACUGGAACUUCACGGAACAGGGCCUUCCGGAUGAUCUAAUAAAGAGGUAAUUAAACACCGAGAGCCACAUCACAACAAGAACCAACAAUAACAUAACUUUGAAUAACAUCCUAAUUUUGUAAUGCAGAGGCAUUGCCAUCAAGGACCCAUCAAGCCCAUCCAAGGUGAAGCUACUGAUCAAGGACUACCCUUAUGCAACAGAUGGCCUGGCGAUCUGGCAAGCAAUCGAGCAGUGGGUCACUGAGUACUGUGCCAUCUACUACCCAAACGAUGGUGUCCUCCAGGGAGAUGUGGAGCUGCAAGCAUGGUGGAAGGAGGUGCGGGAAGUCGGGCAUGGUGAUCUCAAGGACGCGGACUGGUGGCCCAAGAUGCAGAGCUUGCCUGAGCUCACCAAGGCCUGCACCACAAUCAUCUGGAUUGCAUCAGCACUCCACGCAGCCGUCAAUUUCGGGCAGUACCCAUACGCGGGCUAUCUUCCAAACCGUCCGACCAUAAGCCGGCGGCCGAUGCCCGAGCCGGGUUCCAAGGAGUACACAGAGCUGGACGAGAACCCAGAGAAGUUCUUCAUCCGCACCAUCACCAGCCAAUUCCAAACCAUUCUCGGUGUCUCGCUCAUUGAGAUUCUAUCAAAGCACUCAGCGGAUGAGAUCUAUCUUGGGCAGCGUGACACGCCAGAGUGGACAUCAGACCCCAAGGCACUGGAAGCAUUCAAGAGGUUCAGCAGGCAGCUGGUGGAGAUUGAGAGCAAAGUGUUGAACAUGAACAAGGACCCCCUGCUCAAGAACCGGGUCGGUCCAGCCAAUUUCCCCUACACACUGAUGUUCCCCAACACGUCAGACAAUAAGGGGGCGGCUGAGGGGAUCACUGCCAGGGGCAUCCCCAAUAGCAUCUCAAUAUGAGACUGCUGCACGCGUCACGCGCUGCUGAGUUGGUGUAGGUUUGUGGCUGUUAUCUUAGGCCCUAGGGCACAAGCAAUGAAGCUGCAUAGUACUAUUUGCUACAAAUUAUGCAAGAAUAAAGUUUUAGUGCUAAUAAUAAAGUUACUGUUGUAGUGUUUGUCCCAUUUUUAAGCAGCUUCACAUAGCAAGCUCAAAUGAAGAGGCAAUGCUGCAAUAUGGAUGAUUAAUUAUGCAGCUUUACUCCUAUGAUGUUAGGGAGGCAGCUUCUGUGGUCAAAUUUGCAGCAAUAAAAUUCUUCAAAUUUCCUCAAAUGUAAUGAUUAUAUCUCAUUCAGUCACAGAUCGAUUCUUACUUGUAAAUCUAGCAUAACCAGUAGCGGAAUCAGAAAUUAACCACAAGGCAGGAAAACAAGGGCUACGAAGUGAUUUGAUUGCCAAUUUGCCAUACAGCUAUAUAUCGCGCGCGCCUAAUUAGUUCCAUGGCAACCCGCAUCGACAUUUUGCUCUUUUGCUCACAUAGGUUGUAGCAUUCAGCAAAACACCACCUUCGACACAUGUCAGAAGCUCUUACUAGACAACAACACGGUCACUAUCCAUCGCAUUGCGCACAAAUCCAUCUAGUCUACGUGCAAGCAGAGAGAGCAUCUAACUACGUGGACAUUGCAAAAUUUAAAGGGGAUGAGAGGGGAGGGGAAGGGAAGGAGUGGGGAGAUACUGAACCUGGGGAAGCAGAGAAGAGGGAGCCGCCGUCGUCUCGGUCCACGGCGGCGAGGGCACACCGGUGGUCGACACGCUCAAGCCCCCCACGAAACCGCCAUAUCGCCGCCGCCGGCCGGCGCCGCCGCGGGGUCAUCGGAGCCGGAGGAACCGAUUUGUCUCCCGAUCGAACUGGGCUUUGUAU
rnacentral:lncRNA from 1 species